GCACAAGCGGUGGAGCAUGUUGUUUAAUUCGAAGCAACGCGAAGAACCUUACCAGGUCUUGACAUCCCGAUGCUAUUUCUAGAGAUAGAAAGUUACUUCGGUACAUCGGUGACAGGUGUGCAUGGUUGUCGUCAGCUCGUGUCGUGAGAUGUUGGGUUAAGUCCCGCAACGAGCGCAACCCCUAUUGUUAGUUGCCAUCAUUCAGUUGGGCACUCUAGCGAGACUGCCGGUAAUAAACCGGAGGAAGUGGGGAUGACGUCAAAUCAUCAUGCCCCUUAUGACCUGGGCUACACACGUGCUACAAUGGUUGGUACAACGAGUUGCGAGUCGGUGACGGCGAGCUAAUCUCUUAAAGCCAAUCUCAGUUCGGAUUGUAGGCUGCAACUCGCCUACAUGAAGUCGGAAUCGCUAGUAAUCGCGGAUCAGCACGCCGCGGUGAAUACGUUCCCGGGCCUU
rnacentral:rRNA from 1 species